rnacentral:rRNA from 1 species
AUUGAACGCUGGCGGCAUGCCUUACACAUGCAAGUCGAACGGCAGCACGGGAGCAAUCCUGGUGGCGAGUGGCGAACGGGUGAGUAAUACAUCGGAACGUGCCCAGUCGUGGGGGAUAACUACUCGAAAGAGUAGCUAAUACCGCAUACGACCUGAGGGUGAAAGCGGGGGAUCGCAAGACCUCGCGCGAUUGGAGCGGCCGAUGUCAGAUUAGCUAGUUGGUGGGGUAAAGGCCUACCAAGGCAACGAUCUGUAGUUGGUCUGAGAGGACGACCAGCCACACGGGGACUGAGACACGGCCCAGACUCCUACGGGAGGCAGCAGUGGGGAAUUUUGGACAAUGGGCGCAAGCCUGAUCCAGCAAUGCCGCGUGCAGGAAGAAGGCCUUCGGGUUGUAAACUGCUUUUGUCAGGGAAGAAAUCCUCUGGGUUAAUACCUCGGGGGGAUGACGGUACCUGAAGAAUAAGCACCGGCUAACUACGUGCCAGCAGCCGCCGUAACAC